AAAAAGAAUUUGUUUGAGAACCAGCAGCAGCAGUUUGAGGGAAAUGUUGAGAAGCUCUCCUUGUUUCUUGGAGAGGAAUUUGAGUUGUACAAUGAUAAUGAAAUUUUGGAUUUGAGAAUGAGGAUCAUUGCUGUUUCAGUGUCUACUGAUAAUCUCUGCCGAAAUUUGUACGAUCAUAUUGAGAAUGAUUUGUUGGGCUCUCUAACGUGGACAGUUCAUAGG
rnacentral:misc_RNA from 1 species